rnacentral:rRNA from 1 species
GCGAACGCUGGCGGCAGGCCUAACACCUGCAAGUCGAACGAACCUUUCGGGGUUAGUGGCGGACGGGUGAGUAACACGUGGGAACGUGCCUUUAGGUUCGGAAUAACUCAGGGAAACUUGUGCUAAUACCGAAUGUGCCCUUCGGGGGAAAGAUUUAUCGCCUUUAGAGCGGCCCGCGUCUGAUUAGCUAGUUGGUUGAGGUAAUGGCUCACCAAGGCGACGAUCAGUAGCUGGUCUGAGAGGAUGAUCAGCCACAUUGGGACUGGGACACGGCCCAAACUCCUACGGGAAGCAGCAGUGGGGAAUCUUGCGCAAUGGGCGAAAGCCUGACGCAGCCAUGCCGCGUGAAUGAUGAAGGUCUUAGGAUUGUAAAAUUCUUUCACCGGGGACGAUAAUGACGGUACCCGGAGAAGAAGCCCCGGCUAACUUCGUG